CCUACGGGGGGCAGCAGUGAGGAAUAUUGGUCAAUGGACGAGAGUCUGAACCAGCCAAGUAGCGUGAAGGAUGACUGCCCUAUGGGUUGUAAACUUCUUUUAUAUGGGAAUAAAACGUUCCACGUGUGGGAUUUUGUAUGUACCAUAUGAAUAAGGAUUGGCUAACUCCGUGCCAGCAGCCGCGGUAAUACGGAGGAUCCGAGCGUUAUCCGGAUUUAUUGGGUUUAAAGGGAGCGUAGGUGGAUUGUUAAGUCAGUUGUGAAAGUUUGCGGCUCAACCGUAAAAUUGCAGUUGAAACUGGCAGUCUUGAGUACAGUAGAGGUGGGCGGAAUUCGUGGUGUAGCGGUGAAAUGCUUAGAUAUCACGAAGAACUCCGAUUGCGAAGGCAGUUCACUGGACUGCAACUGACACUGAGGCUCGAAAGUGUGGGUAUCAAACAGGAUUAGAUACCCUAGUAGUC
rnacentral:rRNA from 1 species